AUAAGAGAUAAUGAACGGACCGUCACGCGUCUAACUUAGGAUAUGUGGGUAGGCCCAGCGAGUUGAAAGGUUUCUUAGGAUCGUUAUAAUAUACCUUAAAUUAGGAAUCUUGUGGGUUCUCGCCUUAGAAGCUGUGAUAAAACUGAAACUGUGGAAAGUAUAAGAGGUACGUCAUAAGUAAAAAGCUUAUAAGUUUUUUCGAUUAAAUUGGCACACCCGUUUCUUUUUGUGAAAACAAAUCCGAAACAGUGUGGCGCCAAAAAAAAAAAACAUUUCAUCCAUUCACUUGAGCACAUGUGAAAAAAAAAAAAGAAAAACAAAGCCUAUGGUAUUGCCGCGGGGAUAGCGACUCAUGCGGUACAUACCCUCUAGGUGGAGUUAUAAAAAAUAUGAAGUUUAUGGCAUUAACCAUGGGGAUGGUGACUCUUGUGGCGUAUGUCCGCUAAACUGAUUAUAAGCAAAAGCAUGUAAAGCUCGCAAUAUCAUCCAUCUAUCCAUCAUAAAUUUAAUCGGAAUAGCAUAAGAGUUUUUUAUAUAAGACGGUAGAUUAAAAUCUUUUAAUCUUAUAAGCUUGAAACGGGAUUAGGUGGCGUUGUAGUCUUUUAAGUGUGAGAUCCUAGAUAACUAUAAAUUACUUGAACUUAUAUCAAUCGUGAAUAAGGGCUCAGAAGCUGGCGGUUGGGUUUAAGUGGAUUUUAUACCUGCAAUCCUAGUUAACGUGUGUUUUGAUUGGUUUAUAAGAUAACUAAAUAAAUUGAAAGCCGAUUUUCUGAUUAUGAUUCCAUUGCAUAUAAUUUUUUCGGGACGAAAAAAGAUAAGUGUGGGCAUUUGAUCGUUGAAUUUUAGGUAAUUUUAGAGAAUGAUGGUGAUUGCAUUUAAAGUGUCAAUUGGAUUUAUGUGGGCAAAAUGAAUAAAUGGAUGGUGAGCUUGAGCCGUUAAUUAGAAGAUACAAUACUCGCCCACUAAAGCACUUAAAAGAAAUAUGGGUUGAUCUCUUGGGCCAUGACUGACGCGUGAAAGAACAAAAAGGUAUAAGGGGUCGCAACUUUGAGAAAAGGGGAGGCAGACGGCUGAAGGCAAGGCAGGAGGGACGCACGGAAGGCAGCCGCCUUUUGGCGGCUGUGCACAGUUCAAGGCAUGAGCAACUAGGUGAAUUUCUCUAAGCGUACGGUUCGUAGGGUUUGACACUUUUCUUAGUUUUAUUCGUUAUUGGAUUUGUUUUUGACAUUGACAACGUCGUAUGAAAAAAUUUAUGAGUUGGUUUAUUUA